AAGAUAUAAGAAAAGAGAGGUUAGCAUUUGUCUUACUAAGAAUGUGAGGGCUUAGUUAUGUUUAAAUGCACAAAUAGUUAAGGUAUUACUACCUACUCUGUGGCAUCUAACUUUGCUUCUCA
ensembl:snRNA